AGUAAAGAAAAGGGUCAGGGAUAAAGUCCAGCGUCAGGGCAUGUGAUUAGCAUCGGUCAGGCACUGGGUUUGGUCCUUAGCACCCAAACUGAAAAACACAAUAAUUUUUUUUUAUUUUAGAAGCAGGGGCUUACUGGGUAGCCCAGGCUGGCCAGAAGUCUCCAUUCUCCUGCCUCCUCCUGAGUGCUGGGAUUACAGAUAAGUUACCCAUUGCAGCUUCAAAAACCCAAGAUAAAAAAUUAAGUACUAAACUCCUGUCCGGUUUCCUUGAGGCGCCCCGCCUUUUCCCUUCUGGGCUCUCCCAACCUCUGUAGUACUCCCACACACUGACUUUGAACACACCUGCGUUUGGCACGGAGCGCGCUGCUCUGCGGGGACUGGAUUGUUCAGAGCAGCAGUUUGCAAAGCUUCUCUCCGCCCAACCCUACUCAACCUAGGAUGCUCUGCUUUGCUCUUCCCCGCCACCAGUACUCGCCCCAAGUAGAUUCCCCACAGCUGCCUAUUGAUGAGUUAGUGUCGAGGAUGCUCUUUGAACCAGCCAGGCCUUGGCGUGCAGGAAAGAAGAAAGUGGGCUGUGCGAUGCAGCUUCGCAGGACAGGAACCAAGUCUGUGACCGACCACACGUUACGUGGUAGAAAGUGUCACCUGGACUUAGAGCUCCAUUCUGGUUAUUCAUCUGUACACUAGAUGAGGAUAAACACCUCUGCCCCUGGCGUGAGUGACAACUUUGCAAAGAUCCAAGGUGCUCAGCACCCCAAUUUGGCGAGACCCCUUCCCGCCUUUAGGGCUAAUCCUCUUCCCGCUAUAACCGCCGCUCACUUUGCUCCGCCCGCCGCUAGGCUGUAGGAAGGUCCCGCCUGUCGCCAAUGAUUCGCCUCAAGCAAAUAGGCUUUGAGGCGUCCUCAUACUUUAUUGGUUAAUGCUGCUGUCAGUCUGGGUGUGGACGCCUUUGGGAAAUGUAGUACUUGCUGAGUCCUGGGGCUCGUGGCUCGGCUUGCCAAGUUCUCUGACAUUGGUCUGUGCGGUCGAGCUUCGGAACUCCACGGGGUUUUGGGUUACAUGAGAAUGUACUGUGGUCCUGGAGGAAGAGGCUCCGGUCUGGCCCCGCUCCGCCGGGUGGGCGUGGCCAGGCAAAGGAUAAGGGUCGGGCUGCUCCUGCCCACUCUGCUGGGAGGUGUCCAGGCCACCAGAACAUCUAAAAGAAGUAGCUUGGAGAAUUUUACACAUGGAGUCUCAAUAGGGUUUCCCUGUUUAUCUCUGGCUGUCCUGGAACUUGCUCUAUAGACAGACUGGCCUCGAACUCAGAGAUCCAGCUGCCUCCUGAGUGCUGGGAUUAAAUGUGUGCCACCAUGCCUCACUCGGGGAGAGUUCUUAGCGAUGGGUAAGAGCCAAGCCUGGUCUGGCGCCAGUGCUGAGAAAGCCUUUGCCUUAUGGUUUCUGUUGCUGUGAUAAACACCACGGACCAAAGGCAGCUGGGGAGGAAAGAGUUUGUUUGUACUUUCAGGCAGCAGUCCAUCACUGAGGGAACUCAGAUCAUGAACCUGCAGGUCAGAACUCAAGCAGAUGCCAUGAAGGAUGUUCUAUAGCAGCUGGAACCAUCUGCCAGGGGUGGAACCACCCACGCCGAGCUGGGCCCUCCCACGUCUACCAUCAAUCAACUCAUACUCUACAGGCUUGCCCACAGCCCAGUCUAGUUGGGGCAUUUUCUCAACCCAAGUUCACUCUUCCAAAAUGACUAUGGCUUGUGUAAAGCUGACAUAAAACUAGCCAGCAGGGUCUGGAGGGUCAGAAGGUAGCAGGGGCAUAUGCGGGCUGCAGAGACCAAGGUUUGUCUGAGACUUCUCCGUGAGCCUUGUGUCCAAGAAGGGACCCACGCCUGCCACCAGAACUGCUAGAGAGACUGUCCUGUGGCUGGGCUGCUGCAUGGUCUCAGCGCCUGUGGAUCCGGGAGCAGUCUUACUGCUCGUUCAAAGCCUGCAGCCUCCUGCUGCAGAACCAGGAACACCAAGCGACUUCUAGGAUAAGACAGACACCCUGAUGAAUCUUCCUGGAUGCUCGCUGACAUCUCUGAUGCCUUAGAGGUGACGGGAAGUCUUUUGUCCCACAGAGGGGACUUCACGGAGUAGCACCAAUAGGUGCAAUAGGGCAUGCUAAUGAAGUGUCAGAGGGGUCCAAAGAAGAGCCCAGCCCAGAGGCUGCGUCCCAACCUCUGGGACAGGGAAUGAUCUCAGCAGUGAGUGCCUCCUCUCCAGAGAGCUUGGAGCAGUAGGAGAGACAGGAACAGGACCUUUCGGCUUUUACAACAUUUAUUUGUGAGAUCUCACAAGAUGAAAAUGAUAAUGGUGAUAAUGGUAAAUCCAAAUAAAACCUUUCCUCUAAGAGAGAGACAAAGACAGAGAGAGAGACAGUGAGACAGAGAAACAGAGAGAGAGGGGGGGA